GGCUUCAUUCUUUAUUUUUUUCCAUAUCUGUUAUACUUCACAAUGAAACCUAUCAAUUGCAAACACAACAUUUAUAAAGAUAGAUAUAUUAUUUGAAAAAUAAUGUCACCAACGCAAAUUGAAAGUAAUGCAUAUUAAGGGCUAACACAAAGUACGCUUAAAAGAUAAACUUCAAAUAUUUGACAAACGAAGGGCUCAAAUGUUUCCUUGAAGCAGGAAAGAGAAGCUACGGUGGUGGAAGGAUGAACGAAUCUUAAUUUCAUUAGUACUUGUAAGGUAAAAGUACAAAUCUAACUACGUAACACAAUUUUUGAAUCAACAUACAAGAUGAAUGUUUAAUUACAAUUUGAAAAGCAAAUCAAAAAACGCGUAAGACUAUAACCUGUGAGAAAUAUAAUCCUAUCUUAAAGCAGGAAAUUGUAACUCAGAGAAAUCAAAAUCGUCCAAUUGCAGCCUCUUCUCCAUCUCCACUUCAACAGUAAAGCAAACUAUUCAAGUUCUCCGACAUGAAAACAAUUCUUUCCAAUGAGUUGCGCCACCAAUAAUAGCGCCACAUUUUUCAACACCGCCGGAUCUUACCGCGAAAUUGAAAGCAUAGCGCCGGACUGGCAGUGUUGCUUUGUUAGAGAAGGGAAAGAAUGAGGAGGAUAUUUGGGGAAAAAAUUAAGGGAAAUAACUAAAAAGUCGGGGCAAAUGACAUAUAGAAUAAGUUACUAUUGUUAUGAAACUAUAUACAUUUAGAAGAAGAAGAAAGUAGGGAGAAGAGAAAAGACUUCUUAUUUCUCUUGAAGUAUAUUCAGGUUUCAUAGAUCUUUCACAAAUCUUAUUUACAAUGAAGGAAAACCAUUUAUUUAUAGAGAAAACCUUACUUGGUCCCAAAGUAGGAAUCUUAACCAUAUCCUACUAGGAAUACAAAUUGUUUAUAACACUCCCCCUUGAAUGUCGGUAGAUUAUGUACCUCGUUAAAACCUUACUAGAUAAAACCCAAUAGUAAAAAAAAUCAAGUGAAGGAAAAAGAGUACACAUGUCUAACCAUAUGCAUUAUGGAUGCCUUAUUAAAAAACAUACACGGAAAACCUAGUGGGACAAAACCUUGUGAGGAAAAAAGAGUACAUCGCGUAUUAACUCCCCCUAAUGACAACAUCAAUUCAUAGACUAGAAUCUUUGUUUUCCAAGCUUGUGCGCCAUCUUUUUGAAAAUUGUAGUUGGUAGAGACUUGGUGGAUAAAUCAACAAUAAUAUUACUUGAAUAGACCUCUUCCAUGUUGAUGUCACCAUUCUUGGGAGCUGAUGAAUGUAGAAAAACCUGUACGAAAUAUGUUUUCUUCUAUACGCUUUUACAAAUCUUCCCUUCAGGGUCAAAGAUUUCUGCAAGUUCCUUACAUUAACUUCUUUAAACAAAUAAUCUAUUGCCAAGAGUUUCAAUUCUAGUCAUCAACUUGCAUAAUAAUACUUGUAUAUGCUCUAUGUAUUUUGAAUUUAUUUAAUCCUUAUGUGGAUGAUAAACAAGUCUUCCAAAAACUUGUAUAUGCUUUAGAUUUUGAACCCAUUCGAUAUUUUCAUAUCAAUUUUGUCAAGUAAAAACAUUUAAUAUUAAAUGUAUGAUAUCUUCUAGUGCCUAGAUUGCAAGUCAAAUAAGCUUUAAGCUUACCAAGAUGCAUCAUUCCACUUUUCACUUGAUAAUUAUUUUUAUACAAGCAUGCUUUAAUAGAUGUAGAAUUCAUAUACUCAUAAUCUUUUACAAUAUUGCGUGCUAUUAUAAUAAAAAUAUCGUCAACGAUAUACGAUUUUGCAUUGAUUCACAAUAUGACAAACUUAUUGAGAUCUCAUCACUUCAUUAAUUUUAGGUAGCUACCCCUCUCAUAAGGUUUCACAAAGUGUUAUGUCGUAGGCUCCCCAAGAGCACAUUAUCUUCUUAUUAUGAUCAUUUUGAUCCUUUGAUCCUCUCCCUUAUUCAAAGAUUAUUUUAUUUAGAAUUGAUUAGUCUAUCAUGCUUCAUGCAUGUCAUAGACUCUAUUGUACAUUCAAUAGGAGUUUUUACAACUUUUGUGUUGCUUCUAAUCUCCUUAAAGUUAGACAAACUAACAUAUAUCUCAAUCUUUUGGAAAAUUUAUCUUUGUGCAUCAUAGUUUAUUGAUGUAUUUAUAUACCACAUAUCAAAGUAUAUUCAUCAAUCAAAUAUUGUAAAUCAAAAUUAUAAGAUGAACACUAUUUGGUCCUUGACCAUAAACCAAUUAACAGAAAAAUUAAUCAUCACUUAUUGGUUUGAUUCAUACAAUUACGUUUGUAUGUAAUAUCAUAUUUCAAAUCAACACAUUAUACUUUAUUUUCAUAAGCAAUGAUUCACUAAAUGUGACAUUUAAGGUCACAUCAUCUUAUAUAUUUAUCAAUAUUAUCAAGGUGAAUUAUCUUGAUUUCAUAUUAUGAAAUUGUGCUCUUAUCUCAAUUAUUUUUGCACAAACAAUUUUGUGAAAGUCAAACUACAUGUUGACAACAAACGUACACGUAAUUAUCUUAUAAAUGCAUCUUUUUAUCAUAUCACAUGAUAGCUGAACGGGUCCAUAUUCACCUUUCAUACUUUUCAGGAUUUAGGGAUUUAGUCCCAACUUUAGUUGAUCCAAUCAACUUUAUCACGAGAACAAGCAACGUAAUUUUUUUUUGAGGAAUCUUCUAGUUUUUCAAUGUAUGUCCAUUACUCAGUAUGCACGUCUUUGGGAUAACCAAAUUAUUCAUGCCAACUAAUAAAAUUAUCAGUACUCGUAAACUCCAAGUUUACUACGUCAUGUGCCUUUUGCUUUAGUAAAUUUUUGAUUUACUAUUAUAUGAGUAAAAUUAACUUUAUUACUUCAAGAGUAAUUUUCAGAUUUAUUUCUUCUCAAUUACUUUACCCUUUAGGUGAGUCGUGAUCCCAUCAUUGAAUGAACUAAUCUGAAGAAAAUUGUGCAUGUAACAUAUUAUUUGUGCCAACAUUUUUUCAAAAAUCAAGUUACGAGAUAAUAAUUGGCACACAUGAGACCAUAUAGAAGAAAAAUUUAUUAGGACCAUUAAGUCUAAACAAUCCUCUAAGUGGAUGACUAGGUCCACAAAUAUUUGAUACGUUCCUAGAACGCAGAGAAUUCAAUCUCAACUUUCGUUUAUGAUUGUGUCACAAUUAGCUUGUCUUGAUAACAAUCAUUACAAGAAAACUCACCAUUUAAAAGAAUUUUCAGGUUCUUCAAUGGAUGUUUAUUUUAAUUUUUCAUAAUUCGUCUAAAUUUUAUAGGCUAACAUUGUCCUAGAAAAACGUAUCAAAUUAAGAAAGUAUUGGAAUUAGUAAAUUUCUUAUUUGCCAUAGAAUGUGCCUCAAUUGUACUAAUUCUUGUCCAAUACAAUCUUGAAGAUAAAACAUGAAAUUUUUCUAUAAUAAAUGUCUUCUUAGAGAUAGACAUUCUUGGUGAUACCACAUCAUUGAAGAAAGGUUGCUAUUUUUUUCACGUCUAGCAUGGUGGCUUAUCACCUCAUUAACUCUAAAGAAUGAAUAUGUAUUCUUACCAUUUAUCAAAGGCUUUCAUUCUUCAUGAAUGAAACACAAUCAUCUAAGUACAUCAAAUUUUGAUAACUUAGUAUCUCAUUCCAUACUCAUGUGCAUCAUUUAUGCACUGUUAUUUUCACUUUGGGGAAUGGAUCUACUUCAACGAGAUAUAUUUCAUGACUAAUUUUAUGAAAAAACUCAUUAUUUCCCUUAGUCAUCAUAAUAUCAUCAAUAUGGUGCAUUGAAACUCAAACCCAACGUCUUAUGCCAUAAAUCAAUGAGGGACUUGAAUAUAACAUCUUUCAUCACAAAGCAUCAACACUUCUGGUGUCUUACCCUCGUGGUGCGAUUGGACGUAGAUCCAUCGUCUUAUUCUCUUGGUGUGAUAUAACUUAAAUUCAUUGUCUUACCCACAAUGCGGCCCAACCUCAAGCCUUUGAAAAUAAUUAAAAUUUUAUCACUUUGAUGAUUAUUAAUAUGAUUAUAUAUUAUAAUUACACACAAAAUUGAGACUAAUGAUUUCUUAUAAUCAACAUUAGCAGUUAAUAGAUAUAGUUUAAUAGAUCGCAUACCUCAUAUAAAGGUUGAAAACAUAUCUUUCACUAAAUUGUGUUUAUUUAAUUACUAAAAUAAAUUAAGGAAUUCUCUUCCAGUCGGUUAAAAUUAAACGUAUAGAAAGUCGACAAGUCUCUUUAAAUACUUACUUUAGAUGGUACCUCCAGAUCUGUUACUUAAAUAAUUUUAACAUAAAGAUAAAUCAUACCUUGAUGAUAUAAGAACCUUAUUGCAUAAUGCAAGAUCUCUUUUGCACUUUUCCCGUCUUUCUUCAUAAUUCUAUAAGAAGAACAAUCGUGCUGAUAACAUGUUAUGAAACUAUAUAAAUUUAUUAGAAGAAGAAGAAAGCAGGGAGAAGAUAAAAGACUUCUUAUUUCUCUUGAAGUAUAUUCAGGAUUCAUAGAUCUUUCACAAAUCUUAUUUACAAUGAAAGAAAACCCUUUAUUUAUAGAGAAAACCUUACUUGGUCACCAAGUAGGAUUCCUAAUCCUACUAGGACUCCACAUGAUUAGACAUUCACUUUAGUACAUAUUAUUCAUAACAAGUAUGUUAUUUUAGGGAAUUUUAAUUUUGACGAUUAUGGCAGUUACGACUCCUUAAAUUGACUAAAUAAACUGGAGGGGUUACUCAAACCUCCACAAUGUAAUGUAAAUUAUUGAGAUGAUAUUACCCUCCACAGUAAAACCCCCAGAAUUUGGGGCUUAUUUUGUUGUGUUAGUCUCUUGGCAAUAGUACUUGUAUUUAGUUAUGACUAAAAAAAUUCAUGGCUAUAACAUGAAGUAUAUGCCACAAGUAUUUUUGAAUUUUAACUAAAAAUUUAUAUCUUUAGCCAUGAAAUAUAUAUAAUUUUAGCUAAAAAUUCAUUUGCUACAGAAAGUCAAAAUUUAUAUGCAUAUUUUUAUUUACAUGAUAUAUAUAGAAAAUUUGUUGCAUUUAAUAUAUAAUUAUAUUAUGAUUAGAGAUUAUUUUGCAAGCUUUUUUACUUCCAUGAGAUGCAUAAUGUAGCUAUGGAUUAAUAUUUAAGAUUUCAAAACACUUCCAAAAACACAUAUAAUAACAAUUUACAAUUUUAAAAAUAUUUAUAAUUAGAUAUAACUCUUGUAAUACACUAUCUUGUUUGAGUACAAAGUGAUAUGUGUUAUGAUCGAAUUCACGCACACACACCAGAUGAAUGAAGAACACAAAGAACUUUCAAGAGAAAGAGAUGAGAAAUCUAGACAGGGAGAGAGAAAACCCAAUAUUUCGUGGUAAAACCCCGUGAGUUAACUCCACGGCGGUGAGGUAUAUUUAUAUUAAUAAUCAGACUAUUUUUGGUUACAAAGAAUAAAUAGGAAAACCUAAAAUAGAGAACAAAUAGGAAAACCUAAAAUAGAGAAUAAAUAGGAAAACCUAAAAUUAAUCAGGCUCCACUACCUAACAAUUCUCCCACUUGGAGACUGACUCAGUCAUCCAAAAAAUACAUUCUCAAAAAAAAUCUCUUCAUCAUCAACAUCUUUACCGCACCGCAACAUCUGUAGCAACAACUACAAAAGACCAACCGAGGUUUUACAUAACCUCAGUUUCCCAACAUCAACACAUUUCAUCAACAUGUCUGCCAGGUUCUUUGCACCCUCUAUCUUCUCCAAGCACAUAUCACCAUCCUCCACAGCCCUGCGAGUGAAAUGGUAUCGCCUUCUGAUGUGCUUUGUCUUCGAAUGAUAGACAGGAUUUUUCACCAACUGUAUGUCACUCUGGCUAUCUGAGUAAAGAAUCUUCUCGCUCUGCUUCUUGCCCAAUUCCUCAAGAUAAUCUGCCAGCCAUAUCAUCUCUUUCCUAGCUUCAGCUAUUGCCACAUACUCAGCUUCAGUAGAUGAAAGAGAAAUACACUUCUGAAGUCUGGACAUCCAACUCACUGCUGUUCCACCUAUGGUGUAAAUGUACCCGGAUGUACUCUUGCUCGAGUCAACAUCCCUACCAUGAUCAGCAUCCACAAAACCCUGAAGAGUCACCUUGCCUUUGCUAAAACAAAGUGAAGUACUGGAUGUACCUCUCAGAUAUCUCAGAAGCCACUUCACAGCUUCCCAAUGCUCUUUCCCACGGUUCGCCAUGUACCUGCUAACAACUCCCACUGCAUGUGCUAUAUCAGCUCUAGUGCAGACCAUAACAUACAUCAAACUACCAACUGCUGAAGCAUAUGGAACAAGUAUCAUGUGAUCACGCUCCUCGGCAGUCUUGGGUGACUGCUCCUUUGACAAUUUAAAGUGAUUUGCCAAUGGAGUAGUCCUGGGUUUAGCAUCAUUAACCUUCAAUCAGCUCAGCACCUUCUCAAUGUACAACUCCUGAGAUAGAUUUAAAGUGCCAGCAUAUCUAUCCGAGAAAUCUUCAUCCCCAAAAUCUGCUUUGCUGGACCCAAAUCUUUCAUCUCAAACGCUGCAGACAACCUUGUCUUCAGAUUGUUAAUCUCCCUCAUACUAGAUCCUGCAAUCAACAUAUCAUCCACAUACAAGAGUAGAAAGACAUAUUAAUCAGUGUAUUUCUUGAAGUAACAACAAGGAUCCUUUUCAGCUUUGCAGAAUCCACUCUUGCUCAUGAAGGAGUCAAACUUCUUUUACCACUGCCUUGGUGCUUGCUUUAGUCCAUACAAACUCCUGGUGAGCUUGAACACCAUGUGUUCCUUGCCUGGAACCACAAAUCCUUCCGGUUGCUGCAUAUAGAUCUCUUUGUCCAGAUCUCCAUGUAAAAACGUUGUUUUUACAUCCAUUUUCUCUAGAUGCAAAUUUUCCGAUGCAACAAUACUCAACAGAAUUCAAAUAGAGGUUAACUUCACAACAUGAGAGAAUAUUUCAGCAUAAUCAAUACCUUUCCUUUGUGAAUAUCCUUUAACCACUAAACGAGCCUUGAACCUUCUUUUGCCAUCUAGUUCAGUCUUGAUUCUGAACACCUACUUGUUUAGCAAAGCUCUCUUCCCUGCAGGUAACUUAGUCAACACCCAUGUGUCAUUCUUCUCAAAUGACCUCAUCUCAUCAUCCAUGGCUUGCUCCCACUUGAUCGAAUCCUCCACCUGUAGGGCCUCAUCAAAAGACUCUGGUUCCCCCUCAUCAGUCAGCAAUAGAUAGUGUAAUGAAGGUGAAUGCCUAUCUGGUGCCCUAAUGGAUCUGGAUGAUCUCCUUAACACUUGAUCAUGUGUAACUUGCUCCACUUCAGAUUCUUCAGUAGGAGUUGGUUGAGUAUUUGCUUCGACAUCUCUGGGUUACUCUUCUCCAACUCAACCUCAACUCCCACUUGCUUUGUAAUCUCUAGAACCUUCUGCUCUCUGUCCUUAUACAAGACAGACUCAUCAAAUAUCACGUCACAAUGUCUCAGGAUCUUUCUGUUCUUGUCAUCCCAAAACCUGUAACCAAACAAAUCAGAACCAUAUCCUAUGAAGUAACACUUCACAGCCUUGGCAUCAAGCUUGUAUCUCUUUUCUGGAUCAACAUGAACAUAAGUUGUACAACCAAAAGUCCUCAAGUGUGAGUACUUGAGUUCUUUUCCUGUCCACACCUCCUCUGGAAUCUUGAACCCUAAAGGAACUGAUGGUCCCCUGUUGAUCAAGUAUGCAACUGUGCUCACAGCAUCCGCCCAAAGUGUUUUGGGCAGCCCACAGUGUAUCCUCAUCUCCUUGCACGCUCAUUCAAUAUUCUGUUCAUCCUCUAAGCAAUUCCAUUCUGCCUUGCCUUACCAGGAAUUGUUCUCAUCAAUCUUAUUCCCUCAGCUGCAUAGAAUGUCUUGAACUCUGAUUUGUCAUACUCUCCUCCAAUGUCAGACCUUAGGCAUUUGACUUUCAAACCAGUCUGAUUCUCAACUUCAGCUUUCAACUUCUGAAAAGUUGCAAAGACAUCUGAUUUAUGCUUCAAAAAGUAAACUGAUACCUUCCUGCUGAAAUCAUCAAUGAAGGUAACAUAGAAUCUGGAUCCUCCAAGUGAUGAUACUGGAGAUGGUCCCCAAACAUCUGUAUGGACCAUUUCCAACUGCACUUUAUUUGGCUCUCUAGGAGUCUUUGUGAAGCUUACUCUUUUCUGUUUGCCCGUAACACAGCUCUUGCAAAGACCCAUAUCAACAGACUUCAGACCCUCUAAUGAUCCUUUUGCAACCAGCAUCUUCAUUCCUUUAGUACUCAUGUGUCCAAGUCUGUUGUGCCACAGACAUGAACCGGAAGCACCUUCAGCAACAGCGGUCAUGUUUAUUCACCCUGCAGUGGUGUACAAGGUUCCAGAUUUGGUGUCACGAGCUACUACCAUAGCACCUUUGACGAUCUUCCACGAACCUUUCCCAAACUCUGCUGCAUAUCCCGUGCUAUCCAACUGACCAACAGAGAUUAAAUUUUUCUUGAUCCUAGGAAUAUAUCUGACAUCCUCCAAUGUCCACUGGUUUCCCGAGGUGGUCUUUAUGCAAACAUCCCCUUUUUCUUCAAUCUCUAAGGCUUUAUUGUCAGCAAGAUAUACUUUUCCAAAAUUUCCAGAUUUAAAAUUUUGGAACAACUCCUUGCUUGGAGACGAAUGGAAAGAUGCACCAGAAUCCAAAAUCCAUGAUUCAACCGGGCUGUUCACACUAAGGAUUAGAGCAUCCCAAUGUCCUCUGCUUAAUUUACAGAAUCAUUGUCAUCUCCAAAUUUCUGAUUCUGUUUCUUCUUUGGCUUUGUACAGUUCAUCCGAAAGUGUCCUUUUUCUCCACAGUUCCAACAAGUCACGUUUGAUCUGUUCAGUGAUUUUCCUCGAUUCUUUGAUUUUGAUCGACCAUGUUGAUUUUUCCCUUUCGUCUUACUUCUUCCCCUUCAAUCAACGCUGAGAGCACUGCCCGAUGAAUCUCCCACUUUUUGUUUCCGAAUACUUUCGCAAAGAACAACAUCACGGAUUUCAUCAAACUUGAGUUUCUCAGAUCCACGGGAACUGCUAAUCGCAGUAACAACAGUAUCCCAAGACUCGGGCAGAGAUGACAUCAAAAUCAACGCCUUAAUUUCAUCUUCGAAAUUAAUAUCCACACAAUUAAGUUGACUCACAAUCAUAUUGAACUCGUUUAUAUGAUCAGAAAUGGAUCCAUUCUCAGAUAUCUGUAAAUUGAACAAUCUACGCAUUAAAUAUACCUUGUUCAUAGCCGAUGAUUUUUCAUACAUGUUUGACAGUGCCUUCAACAGACCGGACGUAGUCUUCUCCUUCACGAUAUUGAACACCAUGUUUCUUGACAAAUUCAACCGGAUCAACCCUAGAGCCUGGCGAUCCUUGAGUUUCCACUUCUCCUCCGUCAUGGAUUACGGCUUCACCCCUGUCAACGGUUCGUGAAGAUCUUUCUGGUACAGAUAAUCUUAGAUCUGCAUCUUCCAGAAACAGAAAUCGGAUCCAUCAAACUUCUCGAUUCCAAGCUUUGAACUAUCUAUCUUUAGUGAUCGUUUUGAAUCUCCUUAGCUCUUAUACCAGUUGUUAGGAUCAAAUUCACGCACACACACUAGAUGAAUGAAGAACACAAGAAAUUUCAAGAGAAAGAGAUGAGAAAUCUAGAGAGAGAGAGAGAGAAAACCCAAUAUUUCGUGGUAAAACCCCGUGAGUGAACUUCCACGGCGGUGAGGUAUAUUUAUAUUAAUAAAUCAGAGUAUUUUUGGUUACAAAGAAUAAAUAGGAAAACCUAAAAUAGAGAACAAAUAGGAAAGUCUAAAAUAGAGAAUAAAUAGGAAAACCUAAAAUUAAUCAGGCUCCACUACCUAACAAUAUGCUCUUCUCUUAUUUCUCCUUCCACAACGUUCAACUGAAUCUUAGCAUAUUUACACGGAUCUUGUCAUUUAUAUGCCUUAACUCCAUUAAUAUACAUGUCAAAAUGAUGUACUUCCUCCGUUUUAAAAUAAAUGAUAUAGUUUGACUUGAAAUGGAGUUUAAGAAUAGAGAGAAGGCUUUUUAAUUUUGUAGCUCUAAAUUAAAGUUACGUCAAAUAUACUAAAAUAUCCUUUAAUCUUGUGGUCUUAAACAUGUUACGUGAAAUGUCAAAGUUAAAGUGUUGCCAAAUAAAAGGAAAGGGAUCAUUCUUUUUGAAACAAACUAAAAAGAAAUAGGACAAUUAUUUUUGAAACAGAACAAUUAUUUUUUUAGCAUAAAAGAUCAUUACCAACUAAUUGUAGACGAGUGUUUGUAUGCAUAUUAUUUCAAGAAGAAAACAUAUUUAUUUAUAUAUAUCACCAACUAAAAGAUUUGGUAGAAAUAAGAAGAAUGCAAGAAGAAACAAAGUACACAAACUUAUAAAUUUUUUACUUUGUAAAUGAAUCUUCACCUCAAUUGUGACAUUUCUUGCGGUCAGCGAAUUAUGACUCCUCUCAACACUAUUCAUUCUUUAAAUCUUCACAAUCUGCUCAUAAAUAAGAUGUAGUUAUUUUUUAAAAGAUCUGAAAUAAUCUAAACCCCAAAAACUAAGUUAAAUAAGCAAAACAUAUAUUGAAAAAUUAUAAAUAAGAAGAUAUGAACAUACCUUGAAUAUAAAAAACCUAGCGACAAAAAGAAAAAAGUUAAUCAGCAAAACAUUCUACAUAAAAAAGUUUUAACUUAAACAAGAAAAUGAGAUAAAGAAGAGAGGGGAGGCGAUGAGUAAGGAAAUUUGAUGGUAGGUUUUCUAAUUUGCCUUAAAAGUUUUGCAGGGAAAUUUAACCUUUUUUUUACUUUUGAAUUUUUUUGGGAUAUAU
rnacentral:lncRNA from 1 species